CUCCCCCAACCGGCUUUCAAAAAAAGCAGGAUACUUCUCAUUCAUAUUCAUCAAUAAAUGAUGCGCCAACUUUGAGUUCAACUCUUGAGGAUCUGUUUCAAGUGCUAUAAGGUAUGGAACACAAGUGAUAGGAUGAACCAGACCUUGACGUAGCACUAUCUCCACAAUCUUAAGUGCAGUCUGGCGAACUUGUUCACUGAAAUCCAAACAUCUCCCCAAAAUAUUAUCCCAGUACAAUUGAACUAUACCCCCACAGAUGUUAGUAUCACCUGCACCAGCAGCAACAGGAACACUGUGGCCCCCUUCUACAGGAUAAUGGUUUACAUCAUUGCUGACUUUAUCUGCUCCCAUUUGACUUUCAGAGUCAAGAAGAUACUCGUACAUGUUUUGCAAUGCUUGUAUCUUAAGACGAACGUCAGAACCAGAAGAUAAAGUUGCCUCUAAUAUUUUCCCGAUGUCCUUUUCCAGCAUAUA
rnacentral:misc_RNA from 1 species